AUACGGAGGAUGCGAGCGUUAUCCGGAUUUAUUGGGUUUAAAGGGUGCGUAGGCGGUUUGCUAAGCGGGAGGUGAAAUGCCGGCGCUCAACGUCGGAAGUGCCUCCCGAACUGGUGGACUGGAAUGACUCUGCCGUGGGCGGAAUGUGUAGUGUAGCGGUGAAAUGCUUAGAGAUUACACAGAACACCGAUUGCGAAGGCAUCUCCCGAAGGGUUGAUUGACGCUGAGGCACGAAAGGUUGGGGAUCAAACAGGAUUAGAUACCCUGGUAGUCCACGCAGUAAACGUUGAUGACUAACCGUCGGCGAUAGACCGCCGGUGGCCAAGCGAAAGCGAUAAGUCAUCCACCUGGGGAGUACGACCGCAAGGUUGAAACUCAAAUGAAUUGGCGGGG
rnacentral:rRNA from 1 species